GGCAGCGUGGUGUAGUGAUUUAAGAACUAAACUAUGACUAUGGAGACCAGGGUUUGAAUCCCUGCUUAGCCA